CCUACGGGAGGCAGCAGUGGGGAAUUUUGGACAAUGGGCGCAAGCCUGAUCCAGCAAUGCCGCGUGAGUGAAGAAGGCCUUCGGGUUGUAAAGCUCUUUUGUCAGGGAAGAAACGGUGGUUCCUAAUACGGACUACUAAUGACGGUACCUGAAGAAUAAGCACCGGCUAACUACGUGCCAGCAGCCGCGGUAAUACGUAGGGUGCAAGCGUUAAUCGGAAUUACUGGGCGUAAAGCGUGCGCAGGCGGUUAUAUAAGUCAGAUGUGAAAUCCCCGGGCUCAACCUGGGAACUGCAUUUGAGACUGUAUGGCUAGAGCGUGUCAGAGGGGGGUAGAAUUCCACGUGUAGCAGUGAAAUGCGUAGAUAUGUGGAGGAAUACCGAUGGCGAAGGCAGCCCCCUGGGAUAACACUGACGCUCAUGCACGAAAGCGUGGGGAGCAAACAGGAUUAGAUACCCUGGUAGUCCACGCCCUAAACGAUGUCUACUAGUUGUUGGGUCUUAAAUUGACUUAGUAACGCAGCUAACGCGUGAAGUAGACCGCCUGGGGAGUACGGGUCGCGAAGAUUUAAAACUUAAUUAGUUAAGUUAGAGGCGUUGAGAGNGCGACGGACGACGACGAGGGAGGAGG
rnacentral:rRNA from 1 species